UUCAAAUGACUCUUCUACAUGUUGUAGCUUUUGCAGAGGAGACUGAAUGAGGACAUAUGUGCAUCAAACAGAUUUCCAGGAUUUGGGGAGUUUGCUAAGCUGUAAAGGUUUUUGAAAUCCUGUCAGGAGAGUUUGCAAGAAGAUCACAGUUCUAAACCUGGAAAUACUUGGAGACUUGUUCUUUUGGACAGUCCCAUUCUGCUCCAUCUACUAGUACUUGGAAAGGACUUCCAAUGGGUCUCAAGAUAAUUGAAAGCAGAAGCAGCAUUAAGCCUCUCCAGCUCUGAGGACACUCUUAUGAAGGCAAGUCACCACCUUUACAUCCCUUAUAUUUGUCUGCCUCAUCACAAAUGACAAAUACUUUCAGCUCCAAGGACUUACCUUUUUUUGUGUACUUUGCCUGUUUUAGAGGCUGAGAAAAGCAGAGAGUGACACACAGGGACAGGACACAGGAGGCCAGGGCAGGGAAGGGGAAAGUAAUGAAACCUUCUUUAGUGCAAACUUGUAAAGACAAGUGAGUAUCCGAUCUCAGAGGUGGUUAGAGAAAUGUCAUGCCUUAGCCAGACCCCUUCUCUCACCCAGAUACUUUCCAACAAAAGAGCAAAAUGUAAUCGAAUCCCUAUCCUCGGAGUAGUAGGGUUGCUUUCUUUUCAUUUUAUCUGAAGGAAAUCAGAGAAUCCUAGGAUGUUAGAACUAGAUGGGCUCUAAAAUAUUAUUUGGUUUAACGAGAUUGCAAAGGAAAAUUCAGGGCAAUUGAAGGGAAGAAGGCUGUCUAAGAGAACUAUCCAACAAGUGACAGAAGCUUUGAAGAAGAGAUUACAGAAGAAGUGUGAGAAUUAGUUUCCUGAAGGAGCACCUAUAGAUUAAAAAGUAUUUGACCUAUGAAGAACCAGGUUUGGGGAAGAGGCAGAUGGGAACAACAAAAAAGUUGCUUUUCAAUAUGGAGCAGCUAGAAUGGUUCAUUCACACCUUCACUCAACAAAUAAUUGUUGAGCACUUAUACCAGACACUCUUCUAGGUUUGGGGUAUACAACAAGGAACAAAAAAGAUAAAACUCCCUGACUUGAUUGAGUGUACAUUCUAGUUGAGAGAGACAAUGAAUAAGCUGCAUUAAUAGAAAAGGUAAACAGUAUGCUAAAAAUGGUUCUAAGAAGAAAGCACGCAGAAAAAGAGGAUAUCUAAUGUCAGGGGAUAGAAAUGAACUUCUAGACAGGGUGACCAUGGAAGGACUCACUGAACAAACACCCUGUGAAUGAAGACCUGAAGGAACUGAGAAGGUAAACUAGGCAAGGGUGUGGGUCCUGUAACUAUGGAGCAACAGGAUCAAAGGCUCUGACACAAGGUUGUGGUUUGUGUGUUUGGGGAAUAAUUAGGAGGUUAGUGUGACCAGAGUGGAGUGAGCAAGGGAAUGGGUAGUACGGAGUAAACAGAGAAACAAGCUAUGCAGGACCUUAAAAGGCAUAGUAAGAAGACUGGUGCUUAAUGAGGCUGAAAUGAGAAGCUAUAGUUAGCCAAUGUGGUAUUAUAUACCUAAAAAUAUGAGGGUAGAUAUGAUGUUAAAUUUUCUUUUGUAAAAUUUUUAGUUAGAUAAGAUGAACAAAUUUCAUGUAUUUCAUACAUACAGAUUUGGUGUUAAACUUUAUCAUAAAAUAAAAG